UACGGAGGGUGCAAGCGUUGUUCGGAAUUACUGGGCGUAAAGCGCGUGCAGGCGGCCGAUUAAGUCCGGUGUGAAAGCCCGGGGCUCACCCCCGGAAGUGCGCUGGAAACUGAUCGGCUAGAGUACGGGAGAGGGAAGCGGAAUUCCUGGUGUAGCGGUGAAAUGCGUAGAUAUCAGGAGGAACACCGGCGGCGAAGGCGGCUUCCUGGACCGAUACUGACGCUGAGGAGCGAAAGCGUGGGGAGCGAACAGG
rnacentral:rRNA from 1 species